GGAGAGGUCGCAUAGCUGGUCUAGUGGCGCCCGCUUGGAAAGCGGGUAUGGCGUCAAAAACCAUCGUGGGUUCGAAUCCCACCCUCUCCGCCU
rnacentral:tRNA from 1 species